GGAGUGGUAGGUAAGUGGUUAAACUGUUAGUCUACUGAUCAGAAGGUCAUGAGUUCAAAUCCCUGUACUGCC